GUGGGGAAUAUUCCGCAAUGGACGAAAGUCUGACGGAGCAACGCCGCGUGAGUGAUGAAGGUUUUCGGACUGUAAAGCUCUGUUGUUUAGGACGAAAGUGCCUGUUGCAAACAGUUACAGGUAUUGACGGUACUAAACGAGGAAGCCACGGCUAACUACGUGCCAGCAGCCGCGGUAAUACGUAGGUGGCAAGCGUUGUCCGGCAUUAUUGGGCGUAAAGAGCAUGUAGGCGGGAAUCUAAGUCUGUUGUGAAAAUGCGGGGCUCAACCCCGUAUUGCGAUGGAAACUGGGUUUCUUGAGUGCAGGAGAGGAAAGGGGAAUUCCCAGUGUAGCGGUGAAAUGCGUAGAUAUUGGGAGGAACACCAGUGGCGAAGGCGCCUUUCUGGACUGUGUCUGACGCUGAGAUGCGAAAGCCAGGGUAGCGAACGGGAUUAGAUACCCGAGUAGUCC
rnacentral:rRNA from 1 species